rnacentral:tRNA from 1 species
GGGUUUGUUGGCUUCAAUGGUAGAGCAUCUGCUCGGCAUGCAGAAGGCCCUGGGUUCAAUCCCCGGCAUCUCCA